rnacentral:rRNA from 1 species
GGAAUAUUGGGCAAUGGGCGAAAGCCUGACCCAGCAACGCCGCGUGAGUGAAGAAGGUUUUAGGAUCGUAAAACUCUGUUGUUGGAGAAGAACAGGGACUAGAGUAACUGUUAGUCCUUUGACGGUAUCCAACCAGAAAGCCACGGCUAACUACGUGCCAGCAGCCGCGGUAAUACGUAGGUGGCAAGCGUUAUCCGGAUUUAUUGGGCGUAAAGCGAGCGCAGGCGGUUUCUUAAGUCUGAUGUGAAAGCCUUCGGCUUAACCGAAGAAGUGCAUCGGAAACUGGGAAACUUGAGUGCAGAAGAGGACAGUGGAACUCCAUGUGUAGCGGUGAAAUGCGUAGAUAUAUGGAAGAACACCAGUGGCGAAGGCGGCUGUCUGGUCUGUAACUGACGCUGAGGCUCGAAAGCAUGGGUAGCGAACA